CCUACGGGAGGCAGCAGUGGGGAAUAUUGGGCAAUGGGCGCAAGCCUGACCCAGCAACGCCGCGUGAAGGAAGAAGGCUUUCGGGUUGUAAACUUCUUUUAAGAGGGAAGAGCAGAAGACGGUACCUCUUGAAUAAGCCACGGCUAACUACGUGCCAGCAGCCGCGGUAAUACGUAGGUGGCAAGCGUUGUCCGGAUUUACUGGGGGUAAAGGGCGUGCAGCCGGGAAGACAAGUCAGAUGUGAAAUCCCGCGGCUCAACCGCGGAACUGCAUUUGAAACUGUUUUUCUUGAGUACCGGAGAGGUCAUCGGAAUUCCGUGUGUAGCGGUGAAAUGCGUAGAGAUAAGGAAGAACACCAGUGGCGAAGGCGGAUGACUGGACGGCAACUGACGGUGAGGCGCGAAAGCGUGGGGAGCAAACGGGAUUAGAUACCCGGGUAGUC
rnacentral:rRNA from 1 species